GACGAACGCUGGCGGCGUGCUUAACACAUGCAAGUCGAACGGAAAGGCCCUGCUUUUGUGGGGUGCUCGAGUGGCGAACGGGUGAGUAACACGUGAGUAACCUGCCCUUGACUUUGGGAUAACUUCAGGAAACUGGGGCUUAUACCGGAUAGGAGCUCCUGCUGCAUGGUGGGGGUUGGAAAGUUUCGGCGGUUGGGGAUGGACUCGCGGCUUAUCAGCUUGUUGGGGGGGUAGUGGCUUACCAAGGCUUUGACGGGUAGCCGGCCUGAGAGGGUGACCGGCCACAUUGGGACUGAGAUACGGCCCAGACUCCUACGGGAGGCAGCAGUGGGGAAUAUUGCACAAUGGGCGGAAGCCUGAUGCAGCACCGCCGCGUGCGGGAUGACGGCCUUCGGGUUGUAAACCGCUUUCGCCUGUGACGAAGCGUGAGUGACGGUAAUGGGUAAAGAAGCACCGGCUAACUACGUG
rnacentral:rRNA from 1 species